GGAGCAAGGGUUUCCCCUUCGUUUGCGGAUCGAGCUGUCUCUCGUCUUCUGCUCCUCCUCUUCCUCCUCCUCCUCCUCCUCUCCCUCCCCUUCGGUUCUUCUCUCUGGUUCUUCCUCUUGUGGGGUUUGUUUGUUUGGCCGUGGGAUUGAUGGGGGUUUAGCUAGCAUUCGGCGGAUACGAGUGGUGGCAUUACCCUUGGAUUGCGGGCAGCGGAGGAGCUAACUGAUGGGAUCCGGCAGUAGCAAGGACGCGGCGGCGGCGGCGUCUUCGUCGGUUAAGGUCCGAAAGCCGAAACCGAGAAGGAUUAGGGUAUUCGACUCUUCCUGCUUCGGUCUCUCCUCCAUUCUAUCAGAUGGCCAUCAGAAGACAGAAGAGAAUGAGAGACCUAAAGGCACCUUUUGUGCUGAUGAAGCAAACAGUAAAUCAAGUGGAGGAAAUGAUGAUGAUUGUGAUAAAGCUGCAGUUGCUUGUCAUAACAAGUUGCCUUUGCUGCAUUCUUCUGAUGUUGAACAAAGUGGAGAAGCUGAUGAGGGUACAUCACAGACCGAACUGGGUCCCAACAGCAGUUCUUCAAAUGCUGUAGUUGAUCGAUCAUCGGGCACUUCUGGCAGGUUACAUUCUCGUUUUAACUUUAUCCCAGAUGGAAUCAGCUUUAGGCUUAACAGAGCAGUCAGUUUGGGUUCGUCAGGGUCCCGUUCUCUCCUCUCUACUGGUCUCUCUGUUCCAAGAAGUGACAUGGGAGAACAUGUUUUAGUAAAUCUUGAUAGUUCUGUGGAUAGAAAUGAUACACAAAGUGGCAGCACACUGGAAAUGAGCUCAUCCCAGAAUGCAGGUCGAAUUAAUGCAGAAAGAGAGGCUACAUUUAGUCAAUAUUCUAAUAGGAGCUUUGUAGAAUCCAGGAAUACAAGGCAUUCUCAUAGAAGGCUUGGACCCCAAGAACCUUUGGAAGGUAGUGUAAGGUUUAGCAGAACACUUAGUGUUGGAAGGCUCCGUGAUAGAGUUCUCAGGAGAACUCCAUUUUCUGAUGGUUUAUUUUAUCCUGCUUUCCUGGAAGAUAGGUCUGUGUGGUCCAGUGCGCAGGCUAGUGGAAGACGAGCCUUGGGUGGUGCAAGAAGAACACCUUCUUCCCACAGGAUUAGUGGAUUUUUGUCUGAUUCCUCUAGUAGUAACCUUCGUCGGAUUGCUAGAUCUAUGGAUAUUGGCGAUGAUAGUGUCUCAAAUAGGCGAACCGUGCAUCAUGAUGCGUUGGAGCAUAGAUCAGCUUUCCUUGAAAGGAGAAGAAGAAUAAGAUCUCAGGUUCGUGCUCUUCAACGACUUGGUAGCCGGUUUGAGAGUUUGUCAGGUCAUGACAGAUCAUGUAUUUUAUCUGGUCAGCAUCGAACAAGCCGGUGCACAUGCAGAACAAGUAGACAAACUGCCAAUCCUGAUGAUGACACAAACACUAGGGCAAGCAUAUCAAGAAUUGUUAUGCUAGCUGAAGCACUGUUUGAGGUUUUGGAUGAAAUCCACCAGCAGUCCAUAGCUCUAUCUUCUCGACCAUCUUUUUCAUCCAUCGGUUCAGUUCCUGCACCAAAGGAGGUUGUAGAGUGUAUUCCAAUAAAAAUAUAUAACAAGCCAUCAAAAACCCAAAACGAGGAGGCUGCACAAUGCUAUAUUUGCCUUGUGGAGUAUGAAGAAGGAGAUUGCAUACGGAUGUUGCCUUGCAAUCACGAAUUUCAUCGAACAUGUAUAGACAAGUGGUUGAAAGAAAUUCACAGCGUAUUAUCUAAACCCAGCAAUUCAAUAUCGAUAUGCUCUCGGAACGCAAAAUAAUUUCCUAACGACACUACGAAAUGUUAUAUAUCGGCUUUUGCCAAACACUACCGAGGCAACCGAUGCUCUUAUGGAGGGUCGAUUAUUUCGAGAAACAAUUGGUUCAUUCUCCGACGUUGUAGCUGUAUCGUGCCGUUACACUAUGGAUCCUGUCGAGUGGUGGCUACAAUUUGGAGGCGAUGCACCACAUUUAAGGAAGGUUGCCGUUCGUAUACUUUCACAGACAACAACAUCUAGUGGUUGCGAACGUAAUUGGUCAACGUUUGCAUUGAUUCAUACGAAGGGUCUGCCCACUUUGUCGAGGGGAUGUUUGCUCAUCAGAUGCAUUAAACAAGCAAAAGCUCAGUUAAAGGAUUAACGAAUGUUGUACAAUGCAAACAGCGUCCCUGCUCAGCUACAAAUUUACCAGGACCUGUCUUGGCCCCUUGGAAGAAUCAACCUUCAGGUUAUGCAGCAUCUUGAUGGGGUUUCCUAGUGGGCCUCUCAACAUCAGCUUUGGAUCUGCGUUGGCUCAUUUUUCUAGGCAAAUCUUUGUGUAUGCAACCAUGAGACGGACGAACACGGUUUAAAUGUAGAAACAUUUUGUAGAAGGGACACCAAGAGAUUCAUUGAUUUGUUCAAAAGUAACUAACUCGAUUAGUGUUUCCAAUAAAACUUUUAUCUUACCAGCA